UCCCUGCUAUUUCAGUUGGUAAAGAAUCUGCCUGCAAUGCAGAAGACCUGGGUUCAAUCCCUGGGUUGGGAA
rnacentral:tRNA from 1 species